UACGUAGGUGGCGAGCGUUGUCCGGAAUCAUUGGGCGUAAAGAGCGCGUAGGCGGCUUGUCAGGUCUGAUGUGAAAUGCCGGGGCUCAACUCCGGACGUGCAUCAGAAACCGGCUUGCUAGAGUCUGGGAGAGGGAAGUGGAAUUCCUGGUGUAGCGGUGAAAUGCGCAGAUAUCAGGAGGAACACCGGUAGCGAAGGCUGCUUCCUGUAACAGUACUGACGCUGAGGCGCGAAAGCUAGGGUAGCAAACAGGAUUA
rnacentral:rRNA from 1 species